UGCUGAAGUAAGAUAUUGGUCUGUAGUCUACUGUUGUAGUUUCAACAUGGUGAUGUUGUUAAAGUGAAUAGUGUAACAUGGUUGCGAUACUCAGCACACCACUAAUUUUAAUUUCAUCAGGGAGAAGCUGCCCUUCACGAGGAGGUGGAGUCAAUGCAAAGCACUGAUAGCUUCUACCUCUUUAUGUCUGACUGUAGCGAUGAGGACAGAGAACAGUGGACACAGGCUGACAUGAUGGACUGUAGGACAGGACUGCUGCUUAUAACUCUCUGCUUGGCAGGUGUUAAUGGUCAGACUCUGACAGAAUCUGAACCAGCAGUUAAACAACCUGGUCAGUCUCACAGAUUGACCUGUACAGCAUCUGGAUUCGCACUCAGCAGCUACUGGAUUCACUGGAUCAGACAGGCUCCUGGAAAAGGCUUGGAGUGGAUUGCAACUGAUACUACAAGUAGCACCAAGUACUAUUCACAGUCAGUCCGAGGCAGGUUUACCAUCUCCAGAGACAACAGCAGAGAGCAGCUGUAUCUGCAGAUGAACAGCCUGAAGACUGACGAUUCUGCUGUUUAUUAUUGUGCCUGA